rnacentral:rRNA from 1 species
CCAGACUCCUACGGGAGGCAGCAGUGAGGAAUAUUGGUCAAUGGCCGAGAGGCUGAACCAGCCAAGUCGCGUGAGGGAGGACGGCCCUACGGGUUGUAAACCUCUUUUGCCGGGGGACAAACGGCGGCACGCGUGCCGUCCUGAGGGUACCCGGAGAAAAAGCAUCGGCUAACUCCGUGCCAGCAGCCGCGGUAAUACGGAGGAUGCGAGCGUUAUCCGGAUUUAUUGGGUUUAAAGGGUGCGCAGGCGGAAUGUCAAGUCAGCGGUAAAAUUUCGGGGCUCAACCCCGUCGUGCCGUUGAAACUGGCGUUCUUGAGUGAGCGAGAAGUAUGCGGAAUGCGUGGUGUAGCGGUGAAAUGCAUAGAUAUCACGCAGAACUCCGAUUGCGAAGGCAGCAUACCGGCGCUCAACUGACGCUCAUGCACGAAAGCGUGGGUAUCGAACAGGAUUAGAUACCCCAGUAU